rnacentral:rRNA from 1 species
ACGUAGGGGGCAAGCGUUGUCCGGAUUUAUUGGGCGUAAAGAGCGUGUAGGCGGUCAGGUAGGUCCGUUGUGAAAACUCGAGGCUCAACCUCGAGACGCCGAUGGAAACCAUCUGACUAGAGUCCGGAAGAGGAGAGUGGAAUUCCUGGUGUAGCGGUGAAAUGCGCAGAUAUCAGGAAGAACACCCGUGGCUAAGGCGGCUCUCUAGUACGGUACUGACGCUGAGACGCGAAAGCGUGGGGAGCGAACAGGAUUAGAUACCCUGGUAGUCCACGCCGUAAACGAUGGGUGCUAGGUGUAGGGGGUGUCGACUCCCUCUGUGCCGAAGCUAACGCAUUAAGCACCCCGCCUGGGGAGUACGGCCGCAAGGCUA